rnacentral:rRNA from 1 species
AGGAAUCUGCCUAUUAGUGGGGGACAACAUUUCGAAAGGAAUGCUAAUACCGCAUACGUCCUACGGGAGAAAGCAGGGGAUCUUCGGACCUUGCGCUAAUAGAUGAGCCUAAGUCGGAUUAGCUAGUUGGUGGGGUAAAGGCCUACCAAGGCGACGAUCUGUAGCGGGUCUGAGAGGAUGAUCCGCCACACUGGGACUGAGACACGGCCCGGACUCCUACGGGAGGCAGCAGUGGGGAAUAUUGGACAAUGGGCGGAAGCCUGAUCCAGCCAUGCCGCGUGUGUGAAGAAGGCCUUAUGGUUGUAAAGCACUUUAAGCGAGGAGGAGGCUACUUUAGUUAAUACCUAGAGAUAGUGGACGUUACUCGCAGAAUAAGCACCGGCUAACUCUGUGCCAGCAGCCGCGGUAAUACAGAGGGUGCAAGCGUUAAUCGGAUUUACUGGGCGUAAAGCGCGCGUAGGCGGCUAAUUAAGUCAAAUGUGAAAUCCCCGAGCUUAACUUGGGAAUUGCAUUCGAUACUGGUUAGCUAGAGUGUGGGAGAGGAUGGUAGAAUUCCAGGU